GGCCGGUUAGCUCAGUUAGCGUGGUGCUAAUAACGCCAAGGUCCUGGGUUCGAUCCCCAUACUGGCCA
rnacentral:tRNA from 1 species